UACGUAGGCAGCGAGCGUUGUUCGGAGUUACUGGGCGUAAAGGGUGUGUAGGCGGUUGUUUAAGUUUGGUGUGAAAUCUCCCGGCUCAACUGGGAGGGUGCGCCGAAUACUGAAUGACUUGGAGUGCGGGAGAGGAAAGUGGAAUUCCUGGUGUAGCGGUGAAAUGCGUAGAUAUCAGGAGGAACACCGGUGGUGUAGACGGCUUUCUGGCCCGUAACUGACGCUGAGACACGAAAGCGUGGGUAGCAAACAGG
rnacentral:rRNA from 1 species